UACAGAGGUGCCAAGCGUUAGGCGGAAUCACUGGGCUUAAAGCGCGUGUAGGCGGGUCGUUAAGUGUCCGAGUGAAAUCCCACGGCUCAACCGUGGAACUGCCGGGCAUACUGGCGAUCUUGGAGGCAUUCAGGGGCGAGCGGAACAAAUGGUGGAGCGGUGAAAUGCGUAGAUAUCAUUUGGAACGCCAAUGGUGAAAACAGCUCGCUGGGAAUGAUCUGACGCUGAGACGGCGAAAGCCAGGGGAGCGAACGGG
rnacentral:rRNA from 1 species